rnacentral:rRNA from 1 species
UACAGAGGGGGCAAGCGUUAUUCGGAAUUAUUGGGCGUAAAGGGCGCGUAGGCGGCAUGGCAAGUGGAUGGUGAAAUCCCUCGGCUUAGCCGAGGAACUGCCGUCCAAACUGCUUCGCUUGAGACCGGGAGAGGUGAGUGGAAUUCCCAGUGUAGCGGUGAAAUGCGUAGAUAUUGGGAGGAACACCAGUGGCGAAAGCGGCUCACUGGACCACAACUGACGCUGAUGCGCGAAAGCUAGGGGAGCAAACAGG